rnacentral:rRNA from 1 species
UACGAGUGCCUCAAGCGUUAUCCGGAAUCAUUGGGCGUAAAGGUUGUGUAGGUGGUUGUAUUAGUCUUCUGUUAAAUUCUUCGGCUUAACCGGGGGCAUGCAGGGGAAACGGUACGACUCGAGGAUGCGAGGGGUUAGCGGAACUCAUAGUGUAGCGGUGAAAUGCGUUGAUAUUAUGGGGAACACCAAAAGCGAAGGCAGCUAACUGGAGCACUCCUGACGCUGAGGAGCGAAAGCCAGGGGAGCAAACGGG